rnacentral:tRNA from 1 species
GCCUGGGUGGCUCAGUUGGCUGAGCAUCUGACUUCAGCUCAGGUCAUGAUCUCACAGUUCAUGCGUUCAUGGGUUUGAGCCCCGUGUCGGGCU